rnacentral:rRNA from 1 species
UACAGAGGGUGCAAGCGUUAAUCGGAAUUACUGGGCGUAAAGCGUGCGUAGACGGUUAUGUAAGUCGGGUGUGAAAGCCCGGGCUCAACCUGGGAAUUGCAUUCGAGACUGCAUAGCUAGGGUGCGGAAGAGGGAAGCGGAAUUUCCGGUGAUGAGCGGUGAAAUGCGUAGAUAUACGGAAGGAACACCAGUGGCGAAAGCGGCUUCCUGGUCCAGCACCGACGUUCAGGCACGAAAGCGUGGGGAGCAA